CGUUAUGACUCCUGGCCCGCGCUGUGACUAUCGAUCCACGUACCGGGAGUGAUAAUGCA
rnacentral:pre_miRNA from 1 species